GUGCUUGCUUGGGCAGCACAUAUACUAAAAUUGGAACGCUACAGAGAUUAGCAUGGCCCCUGCACGAGGAUGACAUGCAAAUUUGUGAAGCAUUCCAUUUUUAA
ensembl:snRNA RNU6-1089P RNA, U6 small nuclear 1089, pseudogene